AGACAGAAUGAAUGAAAUUGUGUGAUUCAGAUGACUGGCAUGCUGGGGCUAUCAUCCUGAUUCCCUCUGCUACUAUAACAUCAUUUAACCUAGACGAAACUCCUGGAGGAUAUUCUCUGAUUUUAACAAAAAAGAGUUAGAAAAAGCGUUUAUGUUUUGUUUUGUUUUGUUUAAAAAAAAAAAAAGGUUCAGAAAGCCCACCAAGGCCUGGAACAGGAGCAAAAGUAAUCCAAAGGUGUGACUACUAUCUAGCCAGCCUGGAGGUCUUCCUCCUGAUCAUCAUCUUCCUGAUUCUUGGGACUCUGGAACCUGCUGUUUUCCCUUACCUUCCAGAAUGUUCUGUUCACUGAUAACCCUUGAACAAGUUACUUGACUAUGCAGGCAGUAUCUGCUCUGUACUAAUCAGGACUCUUUGGGAUCUGCCAUCUCAUCUUCUGGACUGAUCUUCUCCACAAAGCAGGAAGCAGCACCACAGUUCACAUCUCCUGAGUUUGACACCAGAGAAUAUCUCAGACUUCUCACUAGAGCUGAGUUCAAAACGACUCAGGCUGGCACGCUUCAAUCCUCUCGACUUUAGAUCAACUUUAGAUGUCAUUGCUUCCAGGAACCACACGUGAAGACUUGUCUUCAGAUUACCCAGUGAAACCACAGAAGAAAUGGAGAGGUCAGAGUUCCAACAAGCAGGAUCAUCAAGAAGAGAGGAUAUUUUCUCUGCUGGGUUCAUAAGAUAGUUUUGCAAUCCUACCAAGUAGGGAGGCUGGUGAAUUCAAAGAAGACAAAUCUAUCUAUCUUUGUGCUAAUUCUGAUUUUGAAAAAAACCUAUUUAGAGACAUAUGGCAAUUUAAGAAAGCAGGAAACCAAAGAACCUGGCAUUCUUGGAACAACAGAUAAAAAGCUCCUUAAAAGUUAACAAGGCAAAGAUGAAUGUGGAUUCUAACACGUGAAGUUAGCAGUAUUUCAUGAUUUGGCUCUGCCGGAAGUUAUUAUACCAGAAUAGAGCCAAAAUGGAAACUUGCUUUGAUCUACAGUUCCCAGUAAAAGAAAUCUAAAAUUA